rnacentral:lncRNA from 1 species
GUGUGUGGAAAUGUAUCAGACUGGCAAACUUAUAAUUUAGUAUAUAUUAAUCAAGCUGUAUUAUAUUAUCAUAAAAUAGCAAAACAGAAUCAGUAUAUAGCUUUAAUAAUAUAAACAAGUCUAAAUUGAAAACAACGUUCAAACCAGUGAUUGCGUUGGAUAAAAACCGCAAUUUUUAUACGUGUGCAUGUAACAAAUUUCGUUGUAGAGGGGUCUAAAUACAGCAUUUUCCAAAAGCCCAAAAGAGUGAAAAAUAUAUUUUAACAAUUUUAAUAAAAUAUACAAGUUUACAAAUUGACAAAUAAAGGGAAACAACUCAGAUAACUUUAUGUUUAUUGCCACUUUCCGCAAAAGUAUAUCCUUAGUAUAUUGUUCUUUGAUUGUAGCAAACUUGGGGUUUUUU